UACAGAGGAGGCAAGCGUUGUUCGGAAUUACUGGGCGUAAAGGGCGCGUAGGCGGCCUUCUAAGUCGAACGUGAAAUCCCCGGGCUCAACCCGGGAACUGCGUCCGAUACUGGAAGGCUUGAAUCCGGGAGAGGGAUGCGGAAUUCCAGGUGUAGCGGUGAAAUGCGCAGAUAUCAGGAGGAACACCGGUGGCGAAGGCGGGUCUCUGGGCCGAUACUGACGCUGAGGAGCGAAAGCGUGGGGAGCGAACAGG
rnacentral:rRNA from 1 species